rnacentral:piRNA from 1 species
UGACCAGUUAAUCUGUAUCUGCUUGGAGCCC